AGGGCUCAGUCUCCCCAGGGAACAUUUUCAUCACCUGCUUAUGCUAAGAGAAGACCACCCCAUCGGUUAGGGCCUGCUACUCUAAUUUGGUCCAGCUUGAAGGAUCCUGCUACUAUAGGUUUGGGGAGCCCUUGUUAAUGUUUGGGUGUCCAUAUGUACCCUGUGCGUGUUGUUUUCUAUAUACUGAAACUUUAUUUUGUUGGAGGUUGCAAAAUGGCUAAAGUCUUUGUCUGGUAAAAUCAGUAUUUUACCUAUAAUCUAUAUAUUACAUUCAUGGCAUACACACCAAGAAGUUAGAUAGAAACAUCAAGUACUCUUGCUGGAAGGCUGCAGUGUAACACAACUUCAUUUCUUACAAUUCUGAACAGUAACACACAAGAGCCCCAAAACAGAGAGAGGAAAAGCAGACUGCUCCCUAAGGCAGUGAGGCACAACUCACCCCACCUUGCUUUUAGCUGGCUCUUUCCAGAUGGACUCCCACACGUUGAUACAGAGCCCCAACACCUGCAAGCCGUGGUAGCUUCCAGUUCCCACAGGCCUCAAUACACAACACUGUAUAUGCAAUAACUUUGACAGUAAGCCUGCCCUCUUGUUUCCCCUUUGAUUUGUGAAGCGUUAAUCCUGUCAGAGUUUGUGUAAAGAGAAGCAGGGGAGGGAAGGAAGGUUGCUCUGCAAAACCUGUGUACCUUGCUGACAGCUUGGGGUCCAAAACUGUCUCUCUGACUCAUUGUCAGUAGGCAAAAAGUAUCACAAAGACUAGAGGCAGUUUUUACUCUCAGGUCGUGUGACAACAUUGAGAGAUGGAUAACCAGCUCUUUCUGAAGUGACAGCUUGGGAGCAUUUUACAAUCUGGUUCCUGUGUUAUGAAGAGUGCUGGAGCCUUGUGAACCAACAUUGCUGCCCUGAAGGUCAGACAGAAACCAACUUUUUCCUCAAGGAACUUUUCUUAGGAGUUUGGGAUGGCUUAACAUCUGCUGCUUGCAGUUCUAUUGUUAAUUUGUUAGGCAGCACAACCAAGAUGAUUUUUUUCUAAUUUUUCAAUGUAUGUGGCUGUGGGUGACACAGCUAUAAAUAUACAAGUAAGUUUGUAAGUAGGCUUAAAGUAGUUUAUCUAUAAAAUAGCAUCUAUAAAUUGGUUCUGAUGGGUGUGUGCUACGGAUGAGGUGUUGCGGGGUUGUUUGUGUUAUAUGCUUUGCUGCUGAAAGAAUUUUAAAAUAAACUUGAAUAUAUGUCAGAGUGUUUGCCUCUUUGUGUGUGUUCAUGGGUUUAUAAGUAAGUUAGACUGUACUAUGUGAAAACGUGGACAUUUUACCCAAUUCCAUCUACCUUGAGAAUAGAUAGAUUUUUUUUCUCAAUUUUUGUCCUGCUUGCAUGUCUAUCAGUUUUAAUAAUGUAAGUUCUAGGAACAUUACAAGUGCUUUUCCCAUUCACUUUUACAAAUAUACAAAAAAGGCAUACGUUUAUGAGCUUGCACAUAUUUUCUGCGUGGCUUUAAAACCAGGCUUCUGUGAGGACGUUAGAAAAUACAUGUAAGAGUUAUUUGAGGGGCCACAUCCCACAGUACCUGCGGCCACGGUGCUAGGCACACAUCUUGCUGUGUUGAUGGUAAAUAAGGAGAGAUGCCAGUUUGGAAUGUUUGUGACUGAACCCAGUUUGCAUCUUGUCUCUUUGGUUGCAAAAAUAAAAAACCCAUCCAUGGAAAUGGGAUUGAAUAAUGAAUAUGAAUAAAAGAAUUAAGAAAAA